rnacentral:rRNA from 1 species
GAUGAACGCUGGCUACAGGCUUAACACAUGCAAGUCGAGGGGAAACGACGGGGAAGCUUGCUUCCUCGGGCGUCGACCGGCGCACGGGUGAGUAACGCGUAUCCAACCUGCCUCUGACUGAGGGAUAACCCGUCGAAAGUCGGCCUAAUACCUCAUGGCAUCGUCUGCGGGCAUCCAACGACGAUUAAAGAUUUCAUCGGUCAGGGACGGGGAUGCGUCUGAUUAGUUAGUUGGCGGGGUAACGGCCCACCAAGGCGACGAUCAGUAGGGGUUCUGAGAGGAAGGUCCCCCACAUUGGAACUGAGACACGGUCCAAACUCCUACGGGAGGCAGCAGUGAGGAAUAUUGGUCAAUGGGCGAGAGCCUGAACCAGCCAAGUAGCGUGCAGGAUGACGGCCCUAUGGGUUGUAAACUGCUUUUAUGCGGGGAUAAAGUGAGGGACGUGUCCUUCAUUGCAGGUACCGCAUGAAUAAGGACCGGCUAAUUCCGUGCCAGCAGCCGCGGUAAUACGGAAGGUCCGGGCGUUAUCCGGAUUUAUUGGGUUUAAAGGGAGCGUAGGCCGUGGAUUAAGCGUGUUGUGAAAUGCAGGUGCUCAACGUCUGCACUGCAGCGCGAACUGGUCCACUUGAGUGUGCGCAACGCAGGCGGAAUUCGUCGUGUAGCGGUGAAAUGCUUAGAUAUGACGAAGAACUCCGAUUGCGAAGGCAGCUUGCGGGAGCACAACUGACGCUGAAGCUCGAAAGUGCGGGUAUCGAACAGG